rnacentral:rRNA from 1 species
AUUGAACGCUGGCGGCAGGCAUAACACAUGCAAGUCGAGCGAGCGGCGGACGGGUGAGAAAUGUCUGGGAAACUGCCGGAGGGAGGGGGAUAACAACAGGAAACGGUAGCUAAUACCGCAUACCAUCAGAUGAGACCAGAUGGGAUUGGCUAGUAGGUGGGGUAACGGCGCCCCUAGGCGACGAUCCCUAGCUGGGCUGAGAGGAUGACCAGCCACACGGGAACUGAGACACGGUCCAGCCUCCUACGGGAGGCAUCAUUGGGGAAUAUUGCACACUGGGCGCAAGCCUGAUGCAGCCAUGCCGCGUGUGUGAAGAAGGCCUUCGGGUUGUAAAGCACUUUCAGCGGGGAGGCGUUACCCGCAGAAGAAGCACCGGCUAACUCCGUGCCAGCAGCCGCGGUAAUUC